rnacentral:rRNA from 1 species
UCUCCCUACGGGAGGCAGCAGUGAGGAAUAUUGGUCAAUGGCCGGGAGGCUGAACCAGCCAAGUCGCGUGAGGGAAGACGGCCCUACGGGUUGUAAACCUCUUUUGUCAGGGAGCAAGGUGCAGGUCGGGACCUGCUGUGAGAGUACCUGAAGAAAAAGCAUCGGCUAACUCCGUGCCAGCAGCCGCGGUAAUACGGAGGAUGCGAGCGUUAUCCGGAUUUAUUGGGUUUAAAGGGUGCGUAGGCGGUCCGUUAAGUCAGCGGUAAAAUUGCGGGGCUCAACCCCGUCGAGCCGUUGAAACUGGC